rnacentral:rRNA from 1 species
AGACCCGAAACCCGGUGAUCUAGCCAUGGGCAGGUUGAAGGUUGGGUAACACUAACUGGAGGACCGAACCGACUAAUGUUGAAAAAUUAGCGGAUGACCUGUGGCUGGGGGUGAAAGGCCAAUCAAACCGGGAGAUAGCUGGUUCUCCCCGAAAGCUAUUUAGGUAGCGCCUCGUGAAUUCAUCUCCGGGGGUAGAGCACUGUUUCGGCUAGGGGGCCAUCCCGGCUUACCAACCCGAUGCAAACUGCGAAUACCGGAGAAUGUUAUCACGGGAGACACACGGCGGGUGCUAACGUCCGUCGUGAAGAGGGAAACAACCCAGACCGCCAGCUAAGGUCCCAAAGUCAUGGUUAAGUGGGAAACGAUGUGGGAAGGCCCAGACAGCCAGGAUGUUGGCUUAGAAGCAGCCAUCAUUUAAAGAAAGCGUAAUAGCUCACUGGUCGAGUCGGCCUGCGCGGAAGAUGUAACGGGGCUAAACCAUGCACCGAAGCUGCGGCAGCGACACUAUGUGUUGUUGGGUAGGGGAGCGUUCUGUAAGCCGUUGAAGGUGGCCUGUGAGGGUUGCUGGAGGUAUCAGAAGUGCGAAUGCUGACAUAAGUAACGAUAAAGCGGGUGAAAAGCCCGCUCGCCGGAAGACCAAGGGUUCCUGUCCAACGUUAAUCGGGGCAGGGUGAGUCGACCCCUAAGGCGAGGCCGAAAGGCGUAGUCGAUGGGAAACGGGUUAAUAUUCCCGUACUUGGUGUUACUGCGAAGGGGGGACGGAGAAGGCUAUGUUGGCCGGGCGACGGUUGUCCCGGUUUAAGCGUGUAGGUGUGUGUUCCAGGUAAAUCCGGUUCACUUUAACACUGAGGCGUGACGACGAGGCACUACGGUGCUGAAGCAACAAAUGCCCUGCUUCCAGGAAAAGCCUCUAAGCAUCAGGUAACAUCAAAUCGUACCCCAAACCGACACAGGUGGUCAGGUAGAGAAUACCAAGGCGCUUGAGAGAACUCGGGUGAAGGAACUAGGCAAAAUGGUGCCGUAACUUCGGGAGAAGGCACGCUGACAUGUAGGUGAAGUGAUUUACUCAUGGAGCUGAAGUCAGUCGAAGAUACCAGCUGGCUGCAACUGUUUAUUAAAAACACAGCACUGUGCAAACACGAAAGUGGACGUAUACGGUGUGACGCCUGCCCGGUGCCGGAAGGUUAAUUGAUGGGGUCAGCGCAAGCGAAGCUCCUGAUCGAAGCCCCGGUAAACGGCGGCCGUAACUAUAACGGUCCUAAGGUAGCGAAAUUCCUUGUCGGGUAAGUUCCGACCUGCACGAAUGGCGUAAUGAUGGCCAGGCUGUCUCCACCCGAGACUCAGUGAAAUUGAACUCGCUGUGAAGAUGCAGUGUACCCGCGGCAAGACGGAAAGACCCCGUGAACCUUUACUAUAGCUUGACACUGAACAUUGAGCCUUGAUGUGUAGGAUAGGUGGGAGGCUUUGAAGUGUGGACGCCAGUCUGCAUGGAGCCGGCCUUGAAAUACCACCCUUUAAUGUUUGAUGUUCUAACGUGGACCCGUGAUCCGGGUUGCGGACAGUGUCUGGUGGGUAGUUUGACUGGGGCGGUCUCCUCCUAAAGAGUAACGGAGGAGCACGAAGGUUGGCUAAUCCUGGUCGGACAUCAGGAGGUUAGUGCAAUGGCAUAAGCCAGCUUGACUGCGAGCGUGACGGCGCGAGCAGGUGCGAAAGCAGGUCAUAGUGAUCCGGUGGUUCUGAAUGGAAGGGCCAUCGCUCAACGGAUAAAAGGUACUCCGGGGAUAACAGGCUGAUACCGCCCAAGAGUUCAUAUCGACGGCGGUGUUUGGCACCUCGAUGUCGGCUCAUCACAUCCUGGGGCUGAAGUAGGUCCCAAGGGUAUGGCUGUUCGCCAUUUAAAGUGGUACGCGAGCUGGGUUUAGAACGUCGUGAGACAGUUCGGUCCCUAUCUGCCGUGGGCGCUGGAGAACUGAGGGGGGCUGCUCCUAGUACGAGAGGACCGGAGUGGACGCAUCACUGGUGUUCGGGUUGUCAUGCCAAUGGCACUGCCCGGUAGCUAAAUGCGGAAGAGAUAAGUGCUGAAAGCAUCUAAGCACGAAACUUGCCCCGAGAUGAGUUCUCCCUGAGACUUAGAGUCUCCUGAAGGAACGUUGAAGACGACGACGUUGAUAGGCCGGGUGUGUAAGCGCAGCGAUGCGUUGAGCUAACCGGUACUAAUGAACCGUGAGGCUUAACCUUACA